CACUAUCGUUAACUGAAUACAUAGGUUAACGAGGCGAACCGGGGGAACUGAAACAUCUAAGUACCCCGAGGAAAAGAAAUCAACCGAGAUUCCCCCAGUAGCGGCGAGCGAACGGGGAGCAGCCCAGAGUCUGAAUCAGCUUGUGUGUUAGUGGAACGGUCUGGAAAGUCCGACGGUACAGGGUGAUAGUCCCGUACACCAAAAUGCACAGGCUGUGAACUCGAAGAGUAGGGCGGGACACGUGGUAUCCUGUCUGAAUAUGGGGGGACCAUCCUCCAAGGCUAAAUACUCCUGACUGACCGAUAGUGAACCAGUACCGUGAGGGAAAGGCGAAAAGAACCCCGGCGAGGGGAGUGAAAAAGAACCUGAAACCGUGUACGUACAAGCAGUGGGAGCACCUUCGGGUGUGACUGCGUACCUUUUGUAUAAUGGGUCAGCGACUUAUAUUCUGUAGCAAGGUUAACCGUAUAGGGGAGCCGCAGGGAAACCGAGUCUUAACUGGGCGUUAAGUUGCAGGGUAUAGACCCGAAACCCGGUGAUCUAGCCAUGGGCAGGUUGAAGGUUGGGUAACACUAACUGGAGGACCGAACCGACUAAUGUUGAAAAAUUAGCGGAUGACUUGUGGCUGGGGGUGAAAGGCCAAUCAAACCGGGAGAUAGCUGGUUCUCCCCGAAAGCUAUUUAGGUAGCGCCUCGUGAACUCAUCUUCGGGGGUAGAGCACUGUUUCGGCUAGGGGGUCAUCCCGACUUACCAACCCGAUGCAAACUACGAAUACCGAAGAAUGUUAUCACGGGAGACACACGGCGGGUGCUAACGUCCGUCGUGAAGAGGGAAACAACCCAGACCGCCAGCUAAGGUCCCAAAGUCAUGGUUAAGUGGGAAACGAUGUGGGAAGGCACAGACAGCCAGGAUGUUGGCUUAGAAGCAGCCAUCAUUUAAAGAAAGCGUAAUAGCUCACUGGUCGAGUCGGCCUGCGCGGAAGAUGUAACGGGGCUAAACCAUGCACCGAAGCUGCGGCAGCGACACUAUGUGUUGUUGGGUAGGGGAGCGUUCUGUAAGCCUGCGAAGGUGUGCUGUGAGGCAUGCUGGAGGUAUCAGAAGUGCGAAUGCUGACAUAAGUAACGAUAAAGCGGGUGAAAAGCCCGCUCGCCGGAAGACCAAGGGUUCCUGUCCAACGUUAAUCGGGGCAGGGUGAGUCGACCCCUAAGGCGAGGCCGAAAGGCGUAGUCGAUGGGAAACAGGUUAAUAUUCCUGUACUUGGUGUUACUGCGAAGGGGGGACGGAGAAGGCUAUGUUAGCCGGGCGACGGUUGUCCCGGUUUAAGCAUGUAGGCUGAUUGUCCAGGCAAAUCCGGAUAAUCAAGGCUGAGGUGUGAUGACGAGGCACUACGGUGCUGAAGUAACAAAUGCCCUGCUUCCAGGAAAAGCCUCUAAGCAUCAGGUAACAUCAAAUCGUACCCCAAACCGACACAGGUGGUCAGGUAGAGAAUACCAAGGCGCUUGAGAGAACUCGGGUGAAGGAACUAGGCAAAAUGGUGCCGUAACUUCGGGAGAAGGCACGCUGGUGUGUAGGUGAAGUCCCUGCGGAUGGAGCUGAGACCAGUCGAAGAUACCAGCUGGCUGCAACUGUUUAUUAAAAACACAGCACUGUGCAAACACGAAAGUGGACGUAUACGGUGUGACGCCUGCCCGGUGCCGGAAGGUUAAUUGAUGGGGUUAUCCGUAAGGAGAAGCUCUUGAUCGAAGCCCCGGUAAACGGCGGCCGUAACUAUAACGGUCCUAAGGUAGCGAAAUUCCUUGUCGGGUAAGUUCCGACCUGCACGAAUGGCGUAAUGAUGGCCAGGCUGUCUCCACCCGAGACUCAGUGAAAUUGAACUCGCUGUGAAGAUGCAGUGUACCCGCGGCAAGACGGAAAGACCCCGUGAACCUUUACUAUAGCUUGACACUGAACAUUGAGCCUUGAUGUGUAGGAUAGGUGGGAGGCUUUGAAGCGUGGACGCCAGUCUGCGUGGAGCCAACCUUGAAAUACCACCCUUUAAUGUUUGAUGUUCUAACGUUGGCCCCUGACCGGGGUUGCGGACAGUGUCUGGUGGGUAGUUUGACUGGGGCGGUCUCCUCCCAAAGCGUAACGGAGGAGCACGAAGGUUAGCUAAUCCUGGUCGGACAUCAGGAGGUUAGUGCAAUGGCAUAAGCUAGCUUGACUGCGAGCGUGACGGCGCGAGCAGGUGCGAAAGCAGGUCAUAGUGAUCCGGUGGUUCUGAAUGGAAGGGCCAUCGCUCAACGGAUAAAAGGUACUCCGGGGAUAACAGGCUGAUACCGCCCAAGAGUUCAUAUCGACGGCGGUGUUUGGCACCUCGAUGUCGGCUCAUCACAUCCUGGGGCUGAAGUAGGUCCCAAGGGUAUGGCUGUUCGCCAUUUAAAGUGGUACGCGAGCUGGGUUUAGAACGUCGUGAGACAGUUCGGUCCCUAUCUGCCGUGGGCGCUGGAGAAUUGAGGGGGGCUGCUCCUAGUACGAGAGGACCGGAGUGGACGCAUCACUGGUGUUCGGGUUGUCAUGCCAAUGGCACUGCCCGGUAGCUAAAUGCGGAAGAGAUAAGUGCUGAAAGCAUCUAAGCACGAAACUUGCCCCGAGAUGAGUUCUCCCUGAGACUUUAAGUCUCCUGAAGGAACGUUGAAGACGACGACGUUGAUAGGCCGGGUGUGUAAGCGCAGCGAUGCGUUGAGCUAACCGGUACUAAUGAACCGUGAGGCUUAACCUU
rnacentral:rRNA from 1 species